rnacentral:lncRNA from 1 species
GGGAUAUAUUUCACAAGGAAUGCAGUCUGAAUUCUUGAUAUUGUAAAGUUAAACCACAAUCCAAACUAGAAGUUCAAUGCCUAGUGCUGACCACAAGAUAUGAGUGAUGUAAAUAGAUCAAACACACGCGCAAAGAUAUUUCAGAUUUGAUGCAAACAAGGAGUAUGCCUAGGAUGCAAGUGUUGCAAUCAAACCCAAGCAAAAUUUUGCACCAAAGAUGGUUAAUGACUGAUUGUGUGACUUGAUAUAAAAUUCAGAACUUGAGCACAUAAACAGAGUGAACUUUCUACUCUUUCUUCACAACUUUUCUUCCUCAACUCUCUUUUUUUUCACUUUCCUUUUUUUGAUACUUUGUUUUUUGAUAACUAAGAACAAGAGCAGAUAUAACACUUACACACACUUUUUUUUUGAAACAAGACACAACCGUCAGUGUUCUAACUUGAUAAGCUCAAAGUUUACGCGAAGGAUGAUACCGGUUUCAGAUUUUCUUUAGGGAUUUGU